rnacentral:rRNA from 1 species
CCUACGGGCGGCAGCAGUGGGGAAUAUUGGACAAUGGGCGAAAGCCUGAUCCAGCCAUGCCGCGUGUGUGAAGAAGGCCUUCGGGUUGUAAAGCACUUUCAGUGGGGAAGAAAGCCUUGGGGCUAAUACCCUCGAGGAAGGACAUCACCCACAGAAGAAGCACCGGCUAACUCCGUGCCAGCAGCCGCGGUAUACGGAGGGUGCGAGCGUUAAUCGGAAUUACUGGGCGUAAAGCGCGCGUAGGCGGUCUGAUAAGCCGGUUGGGAAAGCCCCGGGCUCAACCUGGGAACGGCAUCCGGAACUGUCAGGCUUGAGUGCAGGAGAGGAAGGUAGAAUUCCCGGUGUAGCGGUGAAAUGCGUAGAGAUCGGGAGGAAUACCAGUGGCGAAGGCGGCCUUCUGGACUGACACUGACGCUGAGGUGCGAAAGCGUGGGUAGCAAACAGGAUUAGAUACCCCGGUAGUC